UACAGAGGUCUCAAGCGUUGUUCGGAUUCAUUGGGCGUAAAGGGUGCGUAGGCGGCGUGGCAAGUCAGGUGUGAAAUCCCGGGGCUCAACCCUGGAACUGCACUUGAUACUGCUUUGCUAGAGUACUGGAGAGGAGAUUGGAAUUUACGGUGUAGCAGUGAAAUGCGUAGAUAUCGUAAGGAAGACCAGUGGCGAAGGCGAAUCUCUGGACAGUUACUGACGCUGAGGCACGAAGGCCAGGGGAGCAAACGGG
rnacentral:rRNA from 1 species